rnacentral:rRNA from 1 species
UACGUAGGGUGCAAGCGUUAAUCGGAAUUACUGGGCGUAAAGCGUGCGCAGGCGGUUCGGAAAGAAAGAUGUGAAAUCCCAGGGCUUAACCUUGGAACUGCAUUUUUAACUACCGGGCUAGAGUGUGUCAGAGGGGGGUGGAAUUCCACGUGUAGCAGUGAAAUGCGUAGAUAUGUGGAGGAACACCGAUGGCGAAGGCAGCCACCUGGGAUAACACUGACGCUCAUGCACGAAAGCGUGGGGAGCAAACAGG